rnacentral:rRNA from 1 species
AGUGGCGAACGGGUGAGUAACACGUGAGCAACCUGCCCCUGACUCUGGGAUAACGACCGGAAACGGUCGCUAAUACCGGAUAUGAGAGGCCCGGGCAUCCGGGUUUCUGGAAAGUUUUUCGGUCAGGGAUGGGCUCGCGGCCUAUCAGCUUGUUGGUGGGGUAAUGGCCUACCAAGGCGACGACGGGUAGCCGGCCUGAGAGGGCGACCGGCCACACUGGGACUGAGACACGGCCCAGACUCCUACGGGAGGCAGCAGUGGGGAAUAUUGCACAAUGGGCGAAAGCCUGAUGCAGCGACGCCACGUGAGGGAUGACGGCCUUCGGGUUGUAAACCUCUUUCAGCAGGGAAGAAGCGCAAGUGACGGUACCUGCAGAAGAAGCGCCGGCUAACUACGUGCCAGCAGCCGCGGUAAUACGUAGGGCGCAAGCGUUGUCCGGAAUUAUUGGGCGUAAAGAGCUCGUAGGCGGUUUGUCGCGUCUGCUGUGAAAACCUCAGGCUCAACCUGGGGCUUGCAGUGGGUACGGGCAGACUAGAGUGCGGUAGGGGUGACUGGAAUUCCUGGUGUAGCGGUGGAAUGCGCAGAUAUCAGGAGGAACACCGAUGGCGAAGGCAGGUCACUGGGCCGCAACUGACGCUGAG